rnacentral:rRNA from 1 species
UACCAGCGGUCCAAGUCGCAGCCACGUUUAUUGGGUCUAAAACAUCCGCAGCUUGUUGUGUAAGUCUCUUGUGAAAUCUGGCAUCUCAAGUGUUGGGCGUGCAAGAGAUACUGCACAACUAGAGACCGGGAGACGUAAGAAGUACUAUCGGGGUAGCGGUAAAAUGCGUUGAUCCUGAUGGGACUAACGAUAGCGAAGGCAUCUUACGAGAACGGAUCUGACAGUCAGGGAUGAAGGCUAGGGGCGCAAA